rnacentral:pre_miRNA from 9 species
UCUCGAUAGCGUAAAAGUUAACUCAUAUUUAUAUGGAGUUUGAACGUUUGCCUACGUCUGCCGUUAGGGGCGCUGUUGCAACUGCUUACAAAUUUGAUUUAACUUUUACGUUAUCGA